UUUAACCUUCGUUGGAUAACGUGAGUCAAGUUUCCCUUAACUGCCGAACCGGAAGUAAACUUCAGCUCCAGUCUUAGCUAGCUAGCUAGCAUGCUAACACCCAGGCAGCAGGCUACAGGCUACAAGAGACCUCCUCCUCCUCCUCCUCCUCCUCUCCGGUUCCGACCGUCACAUUAAGUGUGGGUUCUGUAGAGAUACGGGGUUCUGAUGGCUCCACUGUUGAAUCCUGCUACAUUACAUCUUGUUUACAGUCAAUAUGAAGCUACGUGUCGGAACCAGGCCGAGCUAACGCCACGUUAGCUUCUUGUUAGCUGCUAGCUGUGUUCAUGAACACUGACCUGAACAUCGGUGCUAUCAGAGCUCGAGCCUGCUGUUUGUCCUCCGGGGACGUUGUUGCUCCGGGGCUCCGGGUCCUGGUUGUCCUCCUCCAUCCCGCUCUUGGUCCUGGUCUCUGAGAUCCAGCAGGUCUCCUCUGGGACUGUCGGAGCUCUUCAGAUUCAGGAGCGCUGCGGGACCUCGUGGAGCUCCGUGUUCACAAACUCACCGACUCUGGAUCAGUUUUGAGAAGCAUGAAUAUUCUUCUUCUUCUGUUCUGUUCUUCUUCUUCUCUUAGUGCAUUGCUGCCUCCCACUGGUGAUAAAGUCUUCAUUAAAGCUCCCCCUGACCUAUAUUUUCCAAUAUAGGCCCGUGGUUUUUAGGAAGUGAACUAGUUCUAAUGCUCUUUCUGUUUGAUUAGGACCAUCACCCAUCACAGUUUUUACAGAUAAUAGAUCAACUCCCAGAACCUUUAGGCCAAUGAGUAACAAUCUCCUUUCCUCAGCAUAUCUCAGACAGAACAUGCUUGACAGACUCCUGUGCUCCACAGACUUGGCACUUGCCGUCCCUGUGCUUUCCCACCAAGAAACGGCCCACUUGCCAAUCCACAAUGACCCAGUCUUAAUCGGGCCAACCUAAUCUGAUCCAGCCGAGGCAAGAUAAUUGUGUUCCCAGGUUUGACUGAUGGUUUUACGUCAUUGAACUUUCUCCCGCUGGUGUCUUUACUCCACUGGUGUUGCCAUUGUUGUGUCAGUCUUUCCUUAAUGGUGCUACGGUACUCAAAUCCGUCAAAUGGUACCUCUAGAUCCAUCUGUAUAAAUAUCUAUGUAGCUAUUCCAUAAUUUCCUAAGAUGCUCCUGUACAUAAUGUGCAACAUUUCCUACACUUCCUUCCUUUAUUAAAUUUUAAUAGAUAUGUCUACAUCAGGCAAUAUUCUCUGAGGAGAAAAACUGUAAAUACAACCUCCAAUGUAUAGACGGCUUUCUGUGCCUAACCAAACUGCAGCCGCUUCACAUCAUCAACAAAGCCGCUGGCGCUUUACUUUCCAUUUGGGUCACACAAUUUGGUGUCACAGCUGAAAAACGUUGGUUACAGCGCUCCCAUGUGGCAGAGUGGGGCCAUAUUUCCUCCAUGUGUGAUGACUGAGGAGAGAGUGAAGUCUGAUGUGUCUUUAUCACUCCAUGGUAAAUGAAGAAAUGUCAACAACAACAAGUCAAACAGAACAACAACAGGAGUUUGUCUGUCGGGUGGACGUGGAGGAGGGGGUGGAGUCUGUCCUGCUGCCCUUCAAGACCACAGCUCACCUCCCUGAGGACAUCGGAGUGGAGCCGCUAAAGACGGUCCACGUGUAUCAGAACGGCUCUCAUUAUUCUGACCAACAGGACCAGUUUUACAGAGACCACAAAGAGAUGAAGGAAGACCUGCUGAGAACUGGAGACCUCAGUCUGACCCUGAAAUCCCCCACAGAUGGAGAAAGAGGACGAUACUGGGUCUACGUCUCCAGCAGAAACAUCAGUAGAGAGAAAAUAGUUGAUCUCAGGGUCAAAGGUCAAUGAGGUCAGAGCUCUCUGUGUUUGUCUCUGUCUGACUGUCCUCUGUCUUUGAUCAUUGAUCCGAUCUGACUCUGGGUCAGAGGGAAAAUGGAGGUGAAGCAGAAGAUGGAGGACGGAUGAAGACAGGAGGACACUUUGUCAGCUUCUUCUUGAUUCUUACUCCUACUGACUCACACCCAGUCUACACGCUCACUAUUGAUUGCCCUAUCUUGCAUUUUACUGUGAUAUACAACUUGUGUAAAAUAUUUUUUUGUUUGUUUUAAUGAGGUCUUUAUAA